CGGACGGGUGAGUAACACGUGGAUAACCUACCUAUAAGACUGGGAUAACUUCGGGAAACCAGAGCUAAUACCGGAUAAUAUAUUGAACCGCAUGGUUCAAUAGUGAAAGACGGUUUUGCUGUCACUUAUAGAUGGAUCCGCGCCGCAUUAGCUAGUUGGUAAGGUAACGGCUUACCAAGGCAACGAUGCGUAGCCGACCUGAGAGGGUGAUCGGCCACACUGGAACUGAGACACGGUCCAG
rnacentral:rRNA from 1 species